rnacentral:rRNA from 1 species
AGCGAACGCUGGCGGCAGGCCUAACACAUGCAAGUCGAACGAACCUUUCGGGGUUAGUGGCGGACGGGUGAGUAACACGUGGGAACGUGCCUUUAGGUUCGGAAUAACUCAGGGAAACUUGUGCUAAUACCGAAUGUGCCCUUCGGGGGAAAGAUUAAUCGCCUUUAGAGCGGCCCGCGUCUGAUUAGCUAGUUGGUUGAGGUAAUGGCUCACCAAGGCGACGAUCAGUAGCUGGUCUGAGAGGAUGAUCAGCCACAUUGGGACUGAGACACGGCCCAAACUCCUACGGGAGGCAGCAGUGGGGAAUCUUGCGCAAUGGGCGAAAGCCUGACGCAGCCAUGCCGCGUGAAUGAUGAAGGUCUGAGGAUUGUAAAAUUCUUUCACCGGGGACGAUAAUGACGGUACCCGGAGAAGAAGCCCCGGCUAACUUCG